GUGAGGAAUAUUGGUCAAUGGGCGGGAGCCUGAACCAGCCAAGUCGCGUGAAGGAAGAAGGAUCUAUGGUUCGUAAACUUCUUUUGCAGGGGAAUAAAGUGCAGGACGUGUCCUGUUUUGUAUGUACCCUGAGAAUAAGGAUCGGCUAACUCCGUGCCAGCAGCCGCGGUAAUACGGAGGAUCCGAGCGUUAUCCGGAUUUAUUGGGUUUAAAGGGUGCGUAGGUGGUUUGAUAAGUCAGCGGUGAAAGUUUGCAGCUUAACUGUAAAAAUGCCGUUGAAACUGUCGGACUUGAGUGUAAAUGAGGUAGGCGGAAUGCGUGGUGUAGCGGUGAAAUGCACAGAUAUCACGCAGAACUCCGAUUGCGAAGGCAGCUUACUAAGCUACAACUGACACUGAAGCACGAAAGCGUGGGGAUCAAACAGGAUUAGAAACCCGUGUAGUCC
rnacentral:rRNA from 1 species